CUAAGCCUUAAGAACUUUUGUUUUCUUAUUGCAGCUCUCGGUUGUGGAAGUGGAUGUGUAGGAGUUUACCUGCUAUUUUAGGAUCAUUUUGACCUCCUUUGAUAAAGUUGUACCCAUAGGAGAAAGAGUUAUUGGGCUGUUAUUUGGGCUGACCUUCGGGCCGACGGCCAAACUCUCGGGCUGCGCAAGGUGUGACUCGGGCUUAAGAAGAGGGGCCCAAUAUUUGUAUAUUUGUAUUCUUAAAUUCUUUCUCAUCAUCACAUGUGUAAUUUAUUUUGUAACUAGAGAGUAGCUUGAUAUGUAUUCGAACUUUCUAGAUCAGCAAAGUAACCUCGUAUUCUUUCUUGA